CAAUGCCUCCUAAGUGAUACUCAGAGAAUGUCAAUUUGCCAGAACAAAUGGUGGGUAGGGGAGCACUUGCCUACUCUGCUUUGGUUAUGUGUAGCCUUUAAUAUAUCCUCUAACAAAUGCCUCCCAGACAAGUGGGUAAUAUAGCAAAAGCCAGAAUGGUGAAAGCUUCCAAUGAUCUCACCCAGUUUGCCCUUGAACAAGCUGCUUUUUUUGGUGAUUAUGUGGUCUCCUGGCCCAGGUUCACAGCUGGGCCUUGGCCUACCCUUAAUGCCCCAUGGCCUUCUCCUUGCCCCCACAGAAAUAAUGCCUCAGCUGUGUCAGCACAGGCCUAGCUCAGCUGGGAGCAGGAGGCAGAGAUGUUACCUGGCAAAGGGAAGCAGGUGAAAGCACUUAGUCAUCUGCAAUCAUUUCCCUAACAAAAAGACUUGAUAUUGUCAGCUGGUGUGUAGCCUAGGGGUUAUCCUCUUAUCUAGGCCUAGGCAGGAAACCCUGUGAUUUACAACUGGAUGUAAGAAAUAGUGAUUGCAUGGCUAAUCUGCAGAGAUUACUGUAGUGUGUUUCCCUAAAGCAUCCCAAGACAGUGGGAUCAAGAAGUGCACCUGUAGGCUGGGCAGGUUAGGGUACCCAGGGCAUAGUAGGCUCUGUGAGCAAAAAUGGGGAGCUUUUGCCCUGAAAGCUGUGUGUAACCAGAGGCCCCUGUGUGGGGCUCGUUUCUGCACCUGGAGCUGCAUAAAGUCAUCAGGUGCAAAUUUAUCUUGGCUCAGGGUCACACCCAGAAAAGAGCUUUUGCUCAUAGACAGAAGUAAGAGAGGGCUGUUUGUCUUAGUAUGAGUGUCCUAGCCUUCUCCAGACUCCCCUCUAGCUCUGCUACGUUAUUACCUGAGGUGGACCAACUCUUCCUUCAUGGCUGUGGGUGACACGCUUUCCUGUUGGAGCUGCUCUGGAGCACGUGGUGAAUACUUGCUUCUAUACCAGACCAAAGGAUUCUGAGAUGGCAAAUAAGGAGGGUACGUGGUUUCCUUAACUGAGAUGGAUCUGCAAGACAACUUUAUGGUUGCACAAGAGGAUAUGAACAGCGAUGAAGCCCAAUGAAAACAAGCUGAGAGGUUGACCAGCUUUUUGGGGUGACUGAAAGGCCAGAAAAGAUGCUGCGGGAAGACUUCCAAGCAACAAUAAAUAUUGAAGUUCUUUCCAACUCAAUGUUUUGAAAUGUCUGUAAGUUUUAACCAAAAGGCCUUGCUACGAUCAACUCUAGUAAGGGAAUAAGAGUAAUAUUUCCACAAUAAAUAGUACUUUCUCCAAAAACCACCAAUGGAGAAGUGGUGAGAUUUGAUGUCAACACAGACUUUAAAAAUGUAAUAAACUCAUCUAAUGGGAAAGAUGAUGACAGCUUU